rnacentral:rRNA from 1 species
GACGAACGCUGGCGGCGUGCUUAACACAUGCAAGUCGAACGGAAAGGCCCUGCUUUUGUGGGGUGCUCGAGUGGCGAACGGGUGAGUAACACGUGAGUAACCUGCCCUUGACUGUGGGAUAACUUCAGGAAACUGGGUCUAAUACCGGAUAGGAGCUCCUGCUGCAUGGUGGGGGUUGGAAAGUUUCGGCGGUUGGGGAUGGACUCGCGGCUUAUCAGCUUGUUGGUGGGGUAGUGGCUUACCAAGGCUUUGACGGGUAGCCGGCCUGAGAGGGUGACCGGCCACAUUGGGACUGAGAUACGGCCCAGAAUCCUACGGGAGGCAGCAGUGGGGAAUAUUGCACAAUGGGCGGAAGCCUGAUGCAGCAACGCCGCGUGCGGGAUGACGGCCUUCGGGUUGUAAACCGCUUUCGCCUGUGACGAAGCGUGAGUGACGGUAAUGGGUAAAGAAGCACCGGCUAACUACGUG